GAUGAAGAACGUAGCGAAAUGCGAUACGUAAUGUGAAUUGCAGAAUUCAGUGAAUCAUCGAAUCUUUGAACGCAUAUUGCGCUCUCUGGUAUUCCGGAGAGCAUGCUUGUUUGAGUAUCAGUAAACACCUCAACUCCCUUUUCUUUUUUGAAAUUGGAGCUGGACUUGAGUGAUCCCAACGCUUUCUUCCAAGAAAGUGGCGGGUUGCUUGAAAUGCAGGUGCAGCUGAACUUUUCUCUGAGCUAUAAGCAUAUCUAUUUAGUCUGCCUAAAAAACAGAUUAUUACCUUUGCUGCAGCUAACAUAAAGGAGACUAGUUCUUGUGCUGACUGAUGCAGGAUUCACAGAGACAGCUUCGGCUGACUUUGUAAACUCGAUCUCAAAUCAAGUAAGACUACCCGCUGAACUUAAGCAUAUCAAUACGCGGAGGA
rnacentral:misc_RNA from 1 species